GAACAUGCAGUGAUCCUCGUCAUAACAAAUGUAACUGGCAAAAAGUUGCUAUAUUAACUUUGUUAACACUGUUGAUGAUACGUGUGUCUCUGUGAUGAUGCACCGGGUGCCUGGCGUUCGGAUUUGUAGUUUGCAAGCCGAAUUAUGUUGCGUUGCUUGCAAUAAAAGUGCGCCCCCCCCCCAUUAUGCGGCCCGUAAGUGAGGCAAGUUGACGUGCUGGGUGUUCAUAGUCCAUGUGACUGCUUUCUAUAAAUGGACUGCAAUGCACAAGUGGCCAUCCAUGACACAUACAAUAUCUUACAAGUUGUUCCCACGAUACCCCUUCUUUUGAUUUGACAUCGUUGCGGGGUCAUCACAGGGCAUCCCCGAGAAUCCUCCCAGCCAAGGAUGCAGACGAAAACGAUGGUAAGUCAUGAGCUCAUGUCACUGUGGAGAAAUCGGGCAGAGUGGUUGUGAGGACAGCAAGAAAGGAUGUACCUGGUUGCAUAAACACUUUGCACUCAACUAAAAGUGCCCUGUAUUAAAGCUGAGUGAAAGUUUGCUCAACACGGGUAUAGUAACAUUUUUGUUUCACCUGAACACAGAAAGUCAAAGCAGCUGUGUGAUUGCAAGUACAUGUGGAGAGUCAGCCAAGAGCACAGGUAACGUACAUUGUACAGAGUGAAGAUGUGCUCUGUAGAGGAACAUUUCUUCACAUAAAUGUGAGACUCUAAAUACACAUACUGUAGCUAUGUAUAGGAAAGUGUUAAGUGUCCAGCACAUAAUCUGCAAGGUUGCUGCAGAGUACAGCCAACAUCAGUGCAGAGUAGUGCAUAGCCAGAAAAAUAUUUCAGGAAGGGUUCUAUGAGAACUUUAAAUGGGGAGGAGUAUUUUCCCUUUGAUUUCUCCUGCCCAAAUGCACUUCCAAAGGACAGUUUUGAGGGAAGGGGGAGUUGAGCCCCGCACAAGGGUGUUUAACUUGAUUAUGACUUUACACAACUUCAUUAUGAAGUAGGGGCGCAGUGAACUGUAACAUUUGCUGCUUUUUUUUCUCUCAGUAUUAAAAUGGACAGAGUGAGAGACAGUGUUACUGAUGGACUUAUACAGUCGUUAUAGUAUACAGAUAGGACCAUACAAAAAGUUCAAAAACAAAAAGCAAAUGUUUGAGUGAAUCCACCUCUUUCAAAAAAGUGAGCGCGCAUGCGUCAGUCCCUUGCCUCUUCCCUGCUCCGCGCGUGACCUCGAACUGGUUAGAAAAGUACCGCGCGUCUCGUAGAGUGCCCGACUCCAUGCCGGCGAGUUGACUUUCGUAUGGUUGCACAAAUUACUAUCGGGACGACAAGCGGGUUCGUCUUUUUAGAUUUCCCUCGGAGAAAUUAUAUCCGGAGAGACGGAAAGCGUGGAUCCGAGCUGUAAAAAGAGUCAAGAAAGACGGUACGCCUUGGAAGCCCACGAUACAUUCGAGGAUUUGCGGCGCACACUUUGACAGGUGAGAAUGUAAACUACCACUCGUUUGAUUGGUAUUUAUCUCAAUGUUAGCAUCUCAGAGUAACACUGAUGAUUCAACGAUUCAGGGCUUCAUUUUUGCUCAUUUAAGGUGAACCGCACAAUGACAAAAGCCAUAUCGAUUACGUGCCGACAGUUUUCAUCUACAAAAAGAAAAACAACAAUGCAGCUCUGGAUAGGUAUCAGCGCCGAAAACGAAGAAUGACGCUAAAAGGUAAUGGCCUUCUAACGCACGGUUAAGAGUAAAGGUUGAUUAUGGCAAAGCCUAACAGAUGUAGUCAUUCUUGCUUCUUCUUGCGUCUGACACGAACGUCAUGUUUCAGGACAAAACACUAUCACCUGUGGCCGUCAGAAGAGUUUGAUCAGUGGCGUGAGGCUCAGGUUCAAGGGAGUCAGACAGCCCUGCCACAAAUACACAAGCAAACAACCUUACUCAAGACACGCAGCUGUGCUCAAGGAUGGAGUGCAUGCCAGUGGUGGUUGAGCCUGAGCUUGAGCCUGUGCAUUUUUCUUCAGACAUUGAAGCCCCUACAAGUGCUCAGCCCGUGCCAGAGGAUAUUGGGGAACCAGAACAGGACCUGCGUGGGAAGCUGGCACGCUUGCAGCAGGAAGUCCUAACACUCACAGCGUGUAACACCUACCUUCAAGAGAGCUUAGUGGUAUUAAGUCUUGUCUUUUGAGCUUAGAACUGAUACAAAACGAUGCAGAGUGCCGGUACUGCACUGGGUUCCCAAAC